UGAAAGUUUUUUCCCACAUCAUAUGUAGGCAUCUGUUUUCUCCCUUUGUUUCCUGUUUCUGGUGCCUAUGAGGGCCAGUUGCAAUGGACUGCCACAUCUGGCCCAUCUGGAUUGCCUUCCCCUCCUUUGUCUCCCAGCCCGAGGUGCAGUGCUGCAUCUCUGGUCAGUUGUGAGUCUGAGAUGAAGCACUGUAGCUCGGGAAGGGAGGAACUGUCCAGCUCAAGAGGAAGAAGUUGCCUCUCUGGGAGCCUCUGUCUCUACCUGAGACCAACAAGCCAAGCUGGGUCCAGUCCCUGUCCCACUAUGCAAAUGUCCUCAGACAUGAACAUCACAUUCAGAAGAGGCAAAGACCACUUCCUUCUGGGAACUUCGUGGAGGAAGCAUUGUUUGGAUUCUUCCUUGAAAGAUGCUAGACAUUCUGUAAACAGAAAUGAAUGGGGAAGACAUUGCAGGCUGAACCAAGGAACUGAGCAAAUGCACUGAAGUGGGUCGAGGCGGGGCCUGCUCAGGAAAUGGUAAAGAGUCAGUCCAAAUCAGUGGAGCCCAGGGGAGCACAGAUUUGAAAGGUAAGGGAUGGCAGAUGUCAGGAACUUUUGAAUCCUAAACUAAGACAUUUAGAUUUUAUUUAUUCUUUUGAUAAAUACUGGCUUUAUUCUCAGGCAGUGGGGAACCAUUGAAGGUUUCUGAGCAGGAGAGUGGCAUAGUGAUCUGAGUUUUAGGAAGGUGACUUGAACAGUGUUCAUAGGAUGGAUUGAAAGAAGAGGCCCUGGAGGGAGAGAGACCAAUAUGGAGGCCAUUGUGUGAGAGUUUUGACCUUGGAUGAUGGCCAUGAACCCUGGAGAAAAAUGUAAGAAACAUUAUAGAAGAGAACUGACAGAACUUAGAGACUGAUGAGUUAGUAAUUCCUCCCUUUUCCUCCUUGCCAUGGCCAAAAUGGACUUGGAGAUGUCAAGAGGGGUGGAGGAAGAGGCCAGGAAGGGUAUGCUACCAUGGAGAGAAACAGGAAAAUCAGGUGGAGGAACCAUUUAGUGCAGAAGGUAAGUUUGGUUCCAGAUGUAUCGAGGCUGAGGUACAGGCAGAAUGUUCAAGGACAGAUCCCAGCAGUUUAAGCCAGAGCAAGAGUGAGACCCUUCAUGAGUCACGUUCCUUCAGGCAGGCAAAAGGACUCUUACGAUCAGAACCGCAGCUUCCAGAAGCCCACCUGGAGAAUUCCUCAUGAAACUGGUCAGUAGUGAGUCCCAAUAUAUCCACUCUUCUCUGCCUUCCAGACAACUAUCCAGUAUAACAAGGGAUAAAAAAGGAAGGGACAAAUAGUUCAGCAAACCUUAGUAUCUGUCAGCUAAGCCCAAUGUUAUCUGAAGUCUUCCAUACCUAUAGGUCCUCAUUUCUGCAAAGAAGGGAAGAAGGGGCCUUUCAUAGCUUUUCUUUUGGAAGAAGAGAUUAAAAAUCAUCAUAAUGUCAGAGCAUUCGGUUUUUAUUGUGACGUUGUUCUUUCCACUUAUAUUGUUGUAAAUUGUACAUUGUUGUGCGUAUUGCUUUUCUAGUUCUGCUUACUUCAUUUGCAUCAGCUCACAUGUCUUCCUUUUCUUCUCUGUACUCAUCACAUUCAUCAUUUCACAUAGCAUAGUCAUCUCCCAUUACAUGCAUGUGUGACAAUUUGCUUAACCAGUCAAUCAAUGGAUAUCAACUUUAGAUCCAUUCCUUUGAACGCAUACCAAAUAUGUUCCCUACUUCUUGACACUUUUAAAUAUCCCCAUGAAAUUGUACUCAAGUAUCCUCCUUUCCAGAGACCCUGACAAUGGUAAGAGCAAGAGAAGGAACCUUCCCCUUUCUGUUUCCCCCUAAGCAACAGCAGCACCAGCCUCUCUCCCAUUCCCAGCUUUACAGUAUCCUGAUUUUUUAGGACUGGUGGCUGCUGUGGGAUGCUCUGUGGUGAAUGAUCACUGUAGAAUGCAGGGAGCCUCCUGUUGGUACCCAACUAUUGCCAAACUCUCAAGACAUAGAAGACAACAGCAGCAUAAUCUACAGGGAAUGAAUGGAUCGACGUUUCUGUCAGCCCUCUGGUCUGAAGACCAUACUCUCCCAACCUUGUCCUCAGGGUCCAGUUUUCCCAGGAAUCCCUUAGGUGCUAAGAUGGGGAUUCCUGGAAAUACUGUUCUUGAGGUCAUGGCUUGACAGCCGGACCAUGUCACCUUCAGCAUCCCCUGCAGGAAGAAGUUUCAAAAACCAGUGUCUGAGCUGGCCACCUGGGAGCCUUUUAGAGAAGAAAUAAGUUGAAAUCAAUGGAGCCAGAGACUGGAGGUAAGGAGGUUUAGCAAUUUGUCACUGAAGAUAAAGCAGCCCCAAAUAUUUUAGCAAGACAUUGUAGAAAGGACACUGCAUUUGGAGUCAGAAGAUCUGGUUUUGAAUUCCAGCUCCAACACUUAUUAUUUGUGUAACUUGGUGAAUCACCUAACUUCUCUGGGACUCAAUUUUCUCAUCUAUAAAUUUAGGCAGUUGGAAUGUUUAACUAAAUGACCUCUAAGGUCCCUUCCAGCUCUAAAUGUUGUGAUUCUAUGCUUAUAUGUGCAUAGACACAGAGCUUUGUGGUUUCCAAGGCACUUUCCUCACAGGAGCCUUGGAAGGUUGGUAGUGCAGAUGUUAUCACUCCAUUUUACAGAUGAGGAAACAGGCUCAGAGAGGGGAAGGGAUGUUUAGUAUCAUUCUAUUAGUUUAGUGGAGGGCAACCAAGAUGGUGAAGGGACUAGAAGCCAUGUCAUAUGAGGAUUGGUUGAAGCAUCUGGGGAUAGUUAAGCCAUAGAAAAGAAAACUUAGGGUCUGUGCUUAUUGUUUUAAUGUAUUUGAAGGGGAAUUAUGGGAAGAGGGAUUAGCUCUGUUCUGUUUGGCCCCAGAAAUAGGGGGAAGUCACAGCAAAGUAGCUUUUCACUCAAUAGAAAGAAAAAUAACUGAAUGGUCAGAGUAUGUCAGAAGAUAGUGAACUUCUCAUCAGAAGUUUUCAAGCGAAGGCUCACUUGUUGGGGAUGGUGUAGAAGGAGAUACUAUUAAGGUCCAACUUAGCCUUGAUGACCUAUGAAGCUCGUUUCCAGUUCUGAGAUUCUGCAGUUCAACCCUUGACUUCAUUACAUUACAUAGAGGGAUAGCAAUUUUAUGCCUGUCUUAAUCUCAGAUGACUGGUCCAAAAGCACCCAGUUAGGUAGCAGUAAAACCAGAGCUAAGACCCUCACCUUCCUUAUAUGUCUCUAGGUUCCCUUCUCUGCUCUCCACAGUGGCCAUUUUUAUAAGAUAAUAAUAAUGAUAAUUCAGUAAGUUUCUCCAUAGAAGUAACUUACCUAAGGUUAUAUAGGUGGUAAGUACUAGAAUUAAGGUUCAAACUCUUUCUCGCUCCAGAUGCAGUUUCCUUUCCACGUUGCCCUUCUGCCUUUCUUGGCAUUGUGGGAACCUCACUUGCUCCAUGCAGCACAUGUCACAAAAACUGUCACAACCUUCUCCAAGGGGUGAGGAAGUCUGAGGAUGAUGAGAAAGCCCAUUUCACACACCAUCCUCCAGAGGGAGGGUGGGAAAGUAUGAUUUAGGCACUGUCCCCAGGGAGGAAUAUGGAAAAGCUGCUUCAGGAAUGAUUCUCUAGGGGGAGAGUGGGAAGGGCAUCUUUCCCUUGUACUUUCCUGCUCUCCUGUGUGAGAGCUGUGUGCCACGAUGAAAAUAAAGUGCUGAACUCUUG